GACAUAGGUGGCAAACGUUAUCCGGUUUUAUUGGGCGUAAAGGAUGCGUAGAUGGCGGAAUAAGUUAUUAGUAGAAGUCAAGCUCAACUUGGCAGAAACUGGUAAUACUAUUCUACUUGAGGACAGGAGAGGUUAGCGGAAUUUUAUGUGUAGGGGUGAAAUCCGUUGAUCUAUAGAGGACCACCAAAAGGCGAAGGCAGCUAACUAUUCUGUUCCUGACAUUGAGGCAUGAAAGCGUGGGUAGCAAACCGG
rnacentral:rRNA from 1 species